rnacentral:rRNA from 1 species
UCAAGCUACAAAGGGCGCAAGGAGAAUGCCUUGGCACUGGGAGCCGAUGAAAGACGUGGUAAGCUGCGAUAAGCUUCGGGGAGGAGCAAACAUCCUUUGAUCCGGAGAUUUCUGAAUGAGGAAACUCACCGGAGUUCAUACUCCGGUAUCCUGUACUGAAUCCAUAGGUACAGGAGGGGAACCGCCUGAACUGAAACAUCUAAGUAGGGCGAGGAAGAGACAUCAAACGAGAUUCCGUAAGUAGUGGCGAGCGAACGCGGAAGAGGGCAAACCGAGAGUAGAAAUACUUUCGGGGUACGGACUGCUUUUAAGACUCAAUCUGUUAACCGAACGGCAUGGGAAGGCCGGUCAGAGAGUGUGAGAACCACGUAGGUGAAAACGGAGAGAGCUGCGCAGGAUCCAGAGUACGGCCAGACACGUGAAACCUGGUCGGAAUACGGGGGGACCACCCUCCAACCCUAAAUACUACCCAGUGACCGAUAGCGUAUAGUACUGUGAAGGAAAGGUGAAAAGGACCCCGGGAGGGGAGUGAAAUAGAACCUGAAACCUUGUGCCUACAAGCACAUAGAGCACAUCAACGUGUGAUAUGGUACUUUUUGUAGAACGGUCCGGCGAGCGAUUGUAUGUUGCGAGCUUAAGGUCUUAAGGACUGGAGGCGCAGCGAGAGCGAGUCUGAAGAGGGCGUUCAGUAACAUGCAAUGGGCCCGAAACCGGGUGACCUACCCAUGAUCAGGCUGAAGUGAAAGUAAAAUUUCAUGGAGGGCCGAACCGACCUCCGUUGAAAAGGCGGCGGAUGAAUUGUGGGUAGCGGAGAAAUUCCAAUCGAACUCGGAGAUAGCUGGUUCUCCCCGAAAUAGCUUUAGGGCUAGCCUCAUAUUAGAUACCCGGAGGUAAAGCACUGAAUGGCCUAGCGCCCGAGAGGGUAGCGAAGCCUAUCAAACUAAGAAUGCCGGAGUAUUGAUGUAUGGGAGUCAGACAGUGUGAGAUAAAUCUCAUUGUCAAAAGGGAAACAGCCCAGAUCUACAGCUAAGGUCCCAAAUUGUAUCUAAGUGGAAAACGAUGUGGAAAUACGCAGACAACCAGGAUGUUGGCUCAGAAGCAGCCACUCAUUUAAAGAGUGCGUAAUAGCUCACUGGUCGAGAGACCCUGCGCCGAAGAUUCCCGGGGCUAAAGUACGAAACCGAAGCUGUGGCUGUAUACGUAAAGUAUACGGGGUAGGGGAGCGUUCCCAUAGGGUAGAAGUCGAACUGGAAGGUUCGGUGGACUUGUGGGAAGUGAGAAUGUUGGUAUGAGUAGCGAAAAGAAAGGUGAGAAUCCUUUCCACCGAAAGCAUAAGGAUUCCUGAGCAACGAUCGUCGUCUCAGGGUAAGUCGGGACCUAAUCCGAGGCAGAGAGCGUAGGAGAUGGACAACUGGUUGAUAUUCCAGUACCGGUAGUAAUUGUUUGAGCAAUGGAGUGACACAGAAGGGCAGGCAAGCAUGCGAAUGGAAGAGCAUGUGUAAGCGUGUAGGGUGGUGCAUAGGCAAAUCCGUGCACUGAAAGCCUGAGGCGUGAUGCGGAGUGAGCAGAGAUGCGAGCGAAGUUGUUGACCCCACACUGUCGAGAAAAGCUUCUAGUGAGAGAGCUACCGCCCGUACCGUAAACCGACACAGGUAUGCGGGGAGAGAAUCCUAAGGUGCGCGGGAGAACCCUCGUUAAGGAACUCGGCAAAAUGUACCCGUAACUUCGGGAUAAGGGUAGCCACUGUUGUGAAGUCCCAUGCGGAUGGAGCAUAGAGUGGUCGCAGAGAAGAGGCCCAAGCGACUGUUUACCAUAAACACAGGUGCCUGCUAAAGCGAAAGCUGACGUAUAGGUGCUGACACCUGCCCAGUGCCGGAAGGUUAAGGAAGGAUGUUCGGAGUAAUCCAAAGCAUUCGACUGAAGCCCCGGUGAACGGCGGCCGUAACUAUAACGGUCCUAAGGUAGCGAAAUUCCUUGUCGGGUAAG